AAGCACUUGAUAUCGAUCGUUCCAUUUGUAGGGUAGCUAUGAGCUAUAUUGGUCCCUUAUCAGCGGUUCAGACAAAAUAGUAGCUUCUUGGGAAGAAAACAAUGUGCACAAAAUUUCAGAACAAUGUCUCAAAAUUAAGGCACUAUUCGAGUAUCUACAGAUAAACGGAUGGGCAUGGCUAUUUCGACUCAGUUCGUUGACCUAUAGUAGAUAGAUUGGCAAAUUGCGGCUUGUAUCACAUAUGGUCGCAAAUGUCUAGCAUCGUGAACAAUUUUCGGUGCCUGCUAGGCGCGACUGAGUUGAUGUGAUCCCUGUCCACGUAUAUGGAAUCUAGGGCCUUAAACCUGCUUUUGAAAAUUGCUAGGCAAUCCAGAAUCAGGUGUUCUGGAGUUUCCUUAUUCCAUAUCGCAGAAUCGGCAGUUUUUGCAAGAGACUAUGCCCAUGUUGGGCAAGUGUUUCCUGAGCCUGCAGUGCCCUAUAUAAAGCGCGACAAGGAGGCUGAAUUUGUCUCGGGGGAGGUUGAUCAUUUCCCUAAACCUUGCAAAAUUGUACCCUGCCCGCUGCCAAUGCUGCUUUCUACCCACUCUCUCCUCCGUGCGGAGCAGCUCAUUUAUAAUGUGGACCUCAAUGCUAUGCAUAAUUCUGGCAUCAUCAUCCUGAACGCUGCCGCAGAGCGGGCUAGUACGUCGGCAAGCUUAUUGCCGGCUACCUCGUUAUGCCCCGACACCCAGAUUACGUGUACCCGGUUGCACAUUGAUAGGCGGUUCAGCCUUCCUACACACUCCUCCACUAAAAGCGAUCUAACUUCAUACGCUGAGAUCGCCUUUAGUGCCGCUUGUGCCGUCAGUGUACCACUGAAUAGUGCUGCCCUUCAGUAGUAGGUCAAACGUGGAAUCGUUCUACUUCGCCUUACUGCCGAUAGUAACUCUGUACUUCUCUGUAAAGUUAACCCUCUUCGUGACGCCGUCCCUUGGGCUUUCAGCAUGGUAUGUUCUGAUUUAUGGUAUGUACGGCGUUUCCUUCUGGGUGUUAUAAACUUCGCGACGAUCUUAACGUGUGUAGGGUAUAAAAAUGUAGAAUUAAAAAUUUGUAUUAAAAUUUUACACAAAACUUCUUAAUAACUGCAUAUAAUAAUAUUCCCACUAUAUAAUAAUAAUGAUGAAGAAGUUUGUUCACCCCGAUUUCCCUGUUUAGUUUUCACUUUCUCUUCGUGUACUAAGCAGUUAGGCAGACUCCUUACGAGCCUCUGACCUUCAUAUUAGACUAACUGCUCUUUUGCUACUCUCUGCUGGUAACACGUUGCAAGCAAAAAGUAACAACCCAAAGACACAUCCACAACUUGCCGUUUGUCGCACUUUGAAUGAAAUAAAAAACGAAUAAAAUCGUGACUUAUUGCUGGUAGCUGCUAACUAAAAGUUAACGAGGAAAUUUUACCUAAAAAUUAAAAACAUAUUUGCAGCAGUACACCUUCCACACAGAGCAACGAUUGGGCCAUUUAAUUGGCUAUUGGGAGUAAUAAAGCAAAAU